rnacentral:rRNA from 1 species
UUGGAGGGCAAGUCUGGUGCCAGCAGCCGCGGUAAUUCCAGCUCCAAUAGCGUAUAUUAAAGUUGUUGCAGUUAAAAAGCUCGUAGUUGAAUUUCGGGAUCAAUGUUUCGGUCAUGCCGUUGGUAUGUACUGAUAUUAUUGAUUUCUCACCUUCUAAAGAACCGUAAUGCCAUUAAUUUGGUGUCACGGGGAAUUAGGACUGUUACCUUGAAAAAAUUAGAGUGUUUAAAGCAGGCUCACGCUUGAAUACAUUAGCAUGGAAUAAUGAAAUAGGACAUCCGAUUCUAUUUUGUUGGUUUCUAGGAUCGAUGUAAUGAUUAAUAGGGAUAGUUGGGGGCAUUAGUAUUCAAUUGUCAGAGGUGAAAUUCUUGGAUUUAUUGAAGACUAACUACUGCGAAAGCAUUUGCCAAGGAUGUUUUCAUUAAUCAAGAACGAAAGUUAGGGGAUCGAAGACGAUCAGAUACCGUCGUAGUCUUAACCAUAAACUAUGCCGACUAGGGAUCGGAUGAUGUUAAUUUUUAAUGACUCA